rnacentral:rRNA from 1 species
UACGUAGGGGGCAAGCGUUGUCCGGAAUCAUUGGGCGUAAAGAGCGUGUAGGCGGCUUGGUAAGUCCGCUGUGAAAGUCCAGGGCUCAACCCUGGAAAGCCGGUGGAAACUGUCAAGCUUGAGUCCGGAAGAGGCGAGUGGAAUUCCUGGUGUAGCGGUGAAAUGCGCAGAUAUCAGGAGGAACACCAAUGGCGAAGGCAGCUCGCUGGGACGGUACUGGCGCUGAGACGCGAAAGCGUGGGGAGCAAACAGG